rnacentral:lncRNA from 1 species
ACAGCUUUUCGUUUAAAGACUUCAUUAGUCGAUUAAAUAUAUUUCAUAAUAAUUGUUAGUUUCAAGAUAAAUUUAGGAUAAAAAAAGACCACCCACAAAGUAUAAAUGAAAGUCAGUGGACAGAUUAUUCAUGUGCACAUUCUCUUAAUAAUGAAAGUUUUUUUUUUAUCACUUUUUCAUCUUUGCAAUAUUACAAAAUGCAAUUCAUAAUGAUAUCAUCGCUUAGGAAGUGCCAUCAACAUUUUGGAGGGAAGAAACAUGGAAAACAACAGUACCAGUAAGUAGCUGUUACAUUUAUAUUUAGUAUAUUUUAUCUAUCCAAAUAAGCGACUUACAAAUGCAUUGGACUUAAUACAUUCUGUGCUAUUUUGUGUGAACAAAUUUGAUUGGUGCAUUUAAUAUUUAUUAUUGCAGUUCAGAUAAUAAAAGAUGUAUGUCUAUAGGCCCUGAAGUUCCAGCUCAUCAAACGUUAUCUGUAUGCUUUCCUUCUUAUAUUGCAGUUCAGUUGCAGUGAUAUUUAUUUUUCUACUAAAUUGUGCAGCCCUGCACAAAAAAGCCUUUUCCUCUCACUCAUGUUGCUCUCAUGUUUUUCUUUCUUCCAUGAAACACAAAAUGAGUAGCCUAAUUAUAUUGCAAUUAUUUUCUCAUAAGUAAAUGAGAACUACAUGAGAGAAAAAAAAGAAGCUAAUUAAGUUUGUGCACAAUUUCUUCUUCUACAGUGCAAACAGCACUUCUGGUAUAUGUAACCUGAGAAGUUCUCACUAUAUUAUAGAUGUCAGCAUCACUGUGUAUCACAGAUGCGGCAGAUUUUAAUGUGCAAAUCCAUUACAUGGCUUCAGAUGACUUGGAAUAUAUUGCAAUGUAUGCAGUACUUUAUGGCAGGAAGCUGAGCACUACUGACAGAACUGACAGUCCAUGUCUUGACAACAAUUACAGCCUGACAUGGACCAGCUUCUGGAUAUAAGGUUCAACCUUUUCUCCUGAUGAGUGCCAUCUGAUGGAAUUCAAAUGGGAGGAUGAGGACAGUGCUUGCAGGCCAUUUACGGUCACAGAACUUAAGACUGAUGCUCUAUGACAGUGCCAAUCCUUUUUGUUUCUUAUUUGAUGGACUGACUGAAUAAUUUAUUUAUACAGUAUAUAGAGGUGUGACUAUGUUUCUCUGUUCCAAAAGUUAUAGUGUGCUGUCUGUCAAGGAGACAUAUUAAAGGAAUAGCUCAGCCAAAAAUGAAAAUUUGCAGAACGUUUCUCACCCUCAGGCCAUCCAAGAUGUAGAUGAGUUUGUAGAAGGGUGCCGUCAGAAUAAGAGUCCAAACAGCUGAUAAAAACAUCACAAUAAUCCACAAGUAGUCAAUCAGUUAUUUGAAGUGAAAAGCUACACGCUUGCAAUAAACAAAUCCAUCAUUUAGGCAUUUUAACUUUAAGCCGUAGGUUUUGACCAAAAUAUUAAUCCAUAAUCAAUUCCUCCAGUGAAAAAGUCCAUCCCCUGUUGUCUACUUACAAUACAUUUUCAGGAAAUUUCCAUUGUGGGGUGAGCAAUUCCUUUAAUGCUAAGGCUGUUCCAAAAUUUAGGCAACUUAAAUAUGCUAUAAAAUUUAAUAGUAUUUAAUAUAUAAAAUAUUAUUGAACAUUACAACGCUUCCUUAAAUAUUGUAAAAUAAUAUUAGAUUUUUAUUAUAUUUUAAAACAUAUACAUAGCUUAUUAACACAUAUUUAUAUUUUAAACUAUAUACAUAGCUUAUUAACUACAUUACUGUUAUAGCUUAGACUUUACUGGAAUCAAUUGUCAAGUCUUCUGUGCUCUUCACGUGAAGCAUGCUUUUUAUACACACGGUUGCUACCUGUGUAAAGUUUUGCAAACUGGUCAAUUUUUUUCAGACGCUGUCUGAGAAGGCAGCUGCAUAUUUAAGCAGUUUUGGAACACAGCUUUUUGUGUCAGCCCUAAAACAGGUGGACUCAUGAGUGUAAAAAUCUCAUGAUUAAAUAAUUCAGUACCGACUGCUCAGUAUAUCCUCACUUGACUGGAUGGGAUUAUAGUCCCAGCCAUAUCUGCCACUCUACCAAGUGUUCAAGCACCAUGACGGCCUCAUAAACAUGCUCAUUAAAACCAGGUCAGAGGCAAAUAUAGUCAUGAAGUUUAACGACUUUCAUUUCUUCAUUAAUGGCGGCACGAGUUUGAAAAGGGGGGCCCUAGAAGCGGAAAAGCAAUAUUUUGCACUUGUGCAUCCAUUUCUGCUCUAAUUAAUUUAGCUUCUUAAUUAUGCUGGUUUGAUUGUAAUGUAUUCAGUUGAUUAAUGAUGCUAAAGGAAGGUUUCACUCUCAUCUGGAGAGCAAUUAUCAGUGCAUCCGAGCUCUAGUGUACCUGUCAAGCUCUAAACUCAACUCUCUUAUAGUCAUAUAGUCUUCUUCUGUCAGAUUGCUUUCAGAAAGGGCCUAACGGUUUUGGCUCAAAUGCACAAACAGUAUUUAUAGGACUUACUAAUGAUGAUCUAUAAUUUUGUGGCAAGAUAGAGAUGGGGUACAGCUUGACUUUAUUUCAGCCAAUUUUUAUCGAUUGAAGGAAACCUAAUUAAAGUGGGGUGUAGACUAUAAAUAUGUUUAAUUGAUAACAAUGUGCUUGAUCCAUUCAGUCACCAGCAGUGGAUGUCAUCCUCUCUGAGCCUUUAUUUGUUUGGUGCUUUGAUGGUCAAUUUGACACCAAGUAGGAAGUAAUCAAACCUGUAAGUAGCAUAGUAAUUUGUUAUUAACAAAUAUCUCAAUCUCUAUUUACGGAUGGUCAUGCGUAUGUGCCUAUGUGCUGAAUUGUGGGUGCUUGUUUGUCUGGGCCGGUUUUCAGAAAUAGAUGCUAAAUGUGGAUGGGAUGAAAGAGGAAAGAGGAUGAAAGAGACUUGUCGCCACUUUCUUUUUGGCUUUUUUCAAUAUUUUUCUAUUGUGUGAUGACUCACUUGCUCUUCAAAUAGCAAACCUAACACCCUUCAAUCCACUGAACUACAACAAGUGACAGGAAGUAAAAGACAGACAAACUCUGUUGGAAUAUGUUAUGUGACAGUAUGCUUUGAUGUUAUUCCAAACCUGUAAAAAACACAUCUUUACAUUUUUCCCCGUACAACAACAAUUCAGAAUGUCCUCAAGCGGUCUCCUAAAGGACAAGCCAAAAAAAAAUUACAACAAUAAAGUUAUUUCAGUAAAGAUAAAUUAAAUUUAUACUAUAAAUGUAAUGUUGUAUUCAAAGUUGUAUGUGUGC